CAUGUGUAGCGGUGAAAUGCGUAGAUAUAUGGAGGAACACCAGUGGCGAAAGCGGCUCUCUGNUCUGUCACUGACGCUGAGGCUCGAAAGCGUGGGUAGCGAACAGGAUUAGAUACCCUGGUAGUNCACGCCGUAAACGAUGAGUGCUAGGUGUUAGGCCCUUUCCGGGGCUUAGUGCCGGAGCUAACGCAAUAAGCANUCCGCCUGGGGAGUACGACCGCAAGGUUGAAACUCAAAGGAAUUGACGGGGGCCCGCACAAGCGGUGGAGCAUGUGGUUUAAUUCGAAGCAACGCGAAGAACCUUACCAGGUCUUGACAUCCCGAUGCUAUUCUUAGAGAUAGGAAGUUACUUCGGUACAUCGGAGACAGGUGGUGCAUGGUUGUCGUCAGCUCGUGUCGUGAGAUGUUGGGUUAANNNNNNCAACGAGCGCAACCCUUAUUGUUAGUUGCCAUCAUUAAGUUGGGCACUCUAGCGAGACUGCCGGUAAUAAACCGGAGGAAGGUGGGGAUGACGUCAAAUCAUCAUGCCCCUUAUGACCUGGGCUACACACGUGCUACAAUGGUCGGUACAACGAGUUGCGAGCCGGUGACGGCAAGCUAAUCUCUGAAAGCCGAUCUCAGUUCAGAUUGGAGGCUGCAACUCGCCUCCAUGAAGUCGGAAUCGCUAGUAAUCGCGGAUCAGCACGCCGCGGUGAAUACGUUCCCGGGCCUNGU
rnacentral:rRNA from 1 species